rnacentral:rRNA from 1 species
UGGGGAAUUUUGCACAAUGGAGGAAACUCUGAUGCAGCGACGCCGCGUGAGUGAUGAAGAUCUUCGGAUUGUAAAACUCUGUCCUUAGUGAAGAUAAUGACAGUAACUAAGAAGCAAGCCCUGGCUAAAUACGUGCCAGCAGCCGCGGUAAUACGUAUGGGGCAAGCGUUGUCCGGAAUUAUUGGGCGUAAAGGGUACGUAGGCGGUUUAAUAAGUCCUAAUUAAAAGGCUAUGGCUCAACCAUAGUAUGGUUAGGAAACUGUUGAACUUGAGUAGAUGAGGGGAAAGUGGAAUUCCAUGUGUAGCGGUGAAAUGCGUAGAUAUAUGGAGGAACACAAAUGGCGAAGGCAACUUUCUGGAAUCAAACUGACGCUGAGGUACGAAGGCGUGGGGAGCAAACAGG